CAGUAAUAGCAAAGAAACGUCCAAAUUUAUCUGCAAAGAAGCAAACGAAAAGGAGGAUUUCAUGUUUCGGUGCUGUCUGGCAUACAAACUGAAAAAGGCUCGAGAUUUCUCUCUUCCUCGAAUUUUUGAGUCGUGUGUGAAUAGAGUUCAAUCUGAAGUCACAUCUCAACCUAUAAUGCAGCAACAGGGUUAUAUAUCUCAACCUUAUGAACAACAAUUCGGUUAUUUAUCUCAGUCAACGAAUCAACAAGGACUCAUAACCCAAC
rnacentral:lncRNA from 1 species